GCCUGCAGCUAGCUCUCUUUAACUCUUAGGGUCGCCCACUGAAGCUAAGCAGGGCUGCGCCCGGUCAGUACUUGGACGGGAGGCCACAUGGGAAAGCUAGGUAGCUGCCGGAA
rnacentral:rRNA from 1 species